UGUAAAAGACAUGUGAUUUUUAGGAAAUUUAUAUGAUGGAACUCCAGAAUCACAGCUAGAGAAACAACAAGCUCAUCUCAUCUUCUCUUUCUGUAAAAUAUCUUUGUUUAGUCAAUGAUAUAAUAAUUAUCAUGAUGGAAUACUGUGACAUGAUGAAUAUAAUGAAAUGUUUAAUUUCAAAUAUUCGGAUAAACACAUAUUCGGAAAUAUUCGAAUAAACACAUUUUUUCGGAAUAUUUCCAGUGAAAAAUAUAAGUAGUAUAUAGUUUCAUGUCAUCAACCAGACGUGAAGCCAAAAAUCUAGGGAUUUUUUGACCCUAGCCUAUGUUUAUAACUUCGAUGACAGUCAAGGACCGACGAGUUUACACAAUGGUGCAAUAAAGCGUUGAGUAGCAUACAGGCGUCUGUGGAUAUUCCUACAUUUCUUGGAUUUAUGCGGGACGUUGAAUCGGCGUAUGAGGUUAAAAAUUACGUUCGCCUGUAUCUUGGUGACACUAAGCAGAGCACGGAAUUUGAUAAGCAAUUCCUGGAGAAACGAAGCAAGUGGCGAUCAGCGCAACGUUCUCAGGCACAAACGGAUGAUCUGUGUAAGCCAGCGCUGGCAGUUAAUCCAAAUGCACCUGCACAAUUUCAGGCAGUAAAGGGAAAAUCCAAGAAACCAAAUAAGGGAUAGAUAUUCAAAGUAGAUAACAGAAUUCUUGGCUUCAGUGUAACCGCGGCACCCGAUCGUAUUAAUGUAGGUGACCACGAUUACGGUGAAGGAGCCUGAGCUGUUUUGUCAGUUUACCUCAUGGAAAUGAUGCGUCGCUCGAUUCAUCAAACAGUUCGUUAUUUAUUUAUUGUAAUCAAUACAUGCUAAAUGGAUGCUGAGAGUCCCACCAUGGGUAUUUCUUAAGAUAUAUAAAGACUUUUUAUGAUCCACACACGUGAACGAAGAACUUAUCCCCCCAAAGGCGAUCAUUGAUGAUUGUCUUCAAUCAGGAUCGACCGGAGCGUGGUGUUAUUUUCUUACAUUAUACACAAGAACUCCAUUGUACAUAUUAUUCAAAGAAGAAUAUUUCAAGAAAGAAGACGAAUUUACUUUUUCUUAAGUACACGACAAUUAGAGUUGGAAACUUUUAUAACAUUUCAUCGUCAUUGCGUCAUUUAAAGUACAACAGAUAAAAAGGAAGAUAAAAUAUGCCAAUCGAUAAAUUGUGCAUGUGUGGAAACAUGGUAGUCAAUAGCAUAUGUGUAUGUAAAGGUUUUCAAUGAAAAUGAUGAUUAAAACAUACUUGUGAAGACGGCGGAAAUGACCGUAUUUGUAAACAUAAUAUUGAAUGUACAGUGCGUCAGAUGUUUUUACUAAACGUAUUUAAUACAACGUGAAUCCUAUGGAUUUUCAUCCAGAAGAAAGAGAGAUUUUCUUUGUUUUCUUGUAUUACUCUUAACAAGUUCUACUUUAACGUACAUUUUAAGCACGAAGAAUCUUUCACUUUUUAACAUUUUUUCGUCGUCAUACAAAUACUUAUAGUGAUAAAAUACUCUACGCAGAAUUUUAAGCACACGUGAUGUUAAUAUAUCUGAUUAGAAUCCCGAAUAAGUUAUGUAUAUGUCAGAAAUUUUAAACUUAUAUCGAAAGCAGGAAGUUGCGAUAUUAUAAUAAACAAAGAGAUAUGAUGAGCGAGAAAAAAUAGUGAUUCGACAUACUUUUCUGAUAUUAUGAAAACCUUUAGAAAAUAAAACUAGCAAUUCAGCAUAUAGUAUUCCUCAGAAUUUUUGAUUUUGCAAUAACAGCAAUAGCAAUUAAAAAUAAUAUUCAUAAUGUGCAUUACUACUUCCUCACCUUGGCAGCAUGAAAAAUCCUGAUAUCUUCCGAUUGCUGCGUAUACCUAUGUGUGGAUCUCACUGUCGUCAGCAUAGUCUUGUACACAUUGUGGUCAAUCUAAUGCUAAAUUCAAGAUAUAAAAAUUUCUGAAAGAUUUAAAUGAUACAUGUGUAAAAGUGUGUAUUAUAAACUUUUACUCGGUAAACUCUUUAAAUCAUAGCUAGCUCUAUUAAUACCUUGUUAGGACUUAACAUUUAUUUUCAUUUUCUAAUUGGACUAGACGUUGAAAAAACGUGGAAUGUUGUGACAGAUCUGACUACUGGUAAUAAUGUGAUGGUUGUUAUUAAUUAAGAUUCAUUGAUCUUCUCUUAGGAUCAAAAGUAGGAGAAAACCAUGAAUCCUUACAAGAGAAAAAUAUAUGUAUGAAUAGAUUAAUGUACAGAAUAAGCAGUGAUGAUUAAACAAAUUGAUUUAAAUUAAAAUAAUUAAAAUGCAGGUAACUGAUAUUGUAUCAAUAUUCUAUUAUAGUAUCUAAUCUAUAUAUAACGUAAUAAAAUGAAUAUUAUUAUA
rnacentral:misc_RNA from 1 species